CACAAGAGUGCCUUCACAGACUCCCUCGCAUGCUCUCCCCGCCAGGAUGCUGGCCUCUGGUCCUCAGACCCGGCUGCCAGCCCAGCCCCCUCAGUGCCCUAGGGGGCCUCUGAGCUCUGCUUUCCUCCAACGUCAGCCCUGAGGUCCAGGGGUCCACUGGGGAGCAAGGCAGGGGGUCGUAGGCUUGGGGACAUUCAAAGCUGCCCCUGCGCCUCUAACUCCUUAUCCAGCCCCCGAGGAACAUGCCGGAUGCCUCCGGGCAGCCCCGCGGCACUUACAGGUCCCAGCCGGCCCUCCAUGGUGCCCUUGGACCUCCUCCGCGGACUUCCGUUCUCCCAGUGGCGGUGGUGUUUUUCACGGAUCUCUUUGGUUCAGGAUUUAGCUUCUGCAGCUGUCCGUUUUCAGGAAACUGGAAACACUCGCUCUUCACGACAAGCAAGCGCAUCUCCAGGCCUUCGCCCGUCCGGUUCCGGUACCGUCCCUCAGGUCAGCGGGCGGGUCCAAGCACCAAGGUUUGGUCCUCGGCUCCUGUGGGAUGUCGCUGCCUCCGCGAGCAGGUCGAUACCAACAGUGGCAGAGCCAGCAGCGCGGGGAGGCCUGCACACGUUCCUGCACCCUGGCUUGGCACGAGUUCCUAGCUGGCCCUGCAGAGGUCUUGGUUGGAGGGGUUCAGAACAGAGCGGCCCCACCCCGGCCCCCUGAGCCGAGGGAGGCAGCCCCCGGGUCACCAGGAACCGCCCGGUCCCUCCUCUCCUGGACCAAGCCUCCCAGGUCGCUGGGCGAGCAGGGCUGUCCCCAGUGCUGACUCGAGGACCAAAGCCAAGGCCGUGGGCCGGUCUGACGUGCUCCUACACUGUCAGUCCUGGCUGAGGUCUGGGAUCAGGUAGGGGAGCUGCUCCGAGCACCCCAUUUCUCAUCACACCUGCCCUCUGCUGCCGGACAGCGGCCCAGAUCUGCGGCCGCCUCUGCCCAGUGUCCCCACCGGCGCCUCCGGCCCAGGUGCAACCAGCAGGGGGUGCUCUUCUCCUGGGGUUUAUUGCCCAUUUCCCUUCCUGUAGGACUCCAAAAGUUUCCAAAAGGCUGAAAGCCAAGGAUCCAGUUCUGAAAUCCCAGCUGAGCCGCCCCCUCCGAAGGAGCUGGAAAACCCCAAGCACACAUGGCCUUGCAGCUGCUGCUUUAUGCCUCGGGCAUCCCAGCCCACAGAACUGUCCACACCGUGUCCCCGGGCCGGGAGGACCACCUAGAGAAAUGCUGAGCUGGGAGGAGGUCCUUCUGGCCCUCCAACCCCAACACUCUUAUGAGAAGCUGCUAGAACUUGUCGCCUGGAGCCCCUACAAGCACCUGUGAAGAAGAGCAGAAAAACAGGACGUGAAUCACUGGUCACAAUCACUUGGAGUGUCAAGAUGGGGCCUCACAGCGAGCGGUUACUACAGACGGCAAUUUUUAAAACAGGCGGGUUAAAAAUACAGAGUCAAAUGAGA